rnacentral:rRNA from 1 species
UACGAAGGGGGCUAGCGUUGUUCGGAAUUACUGGGCGUAAAGCGCGCGCAGGCGGUUUUUCAAGUCAGUGGUGAAAGCCCGGAGCUCAACUCCGGAACUGCCAUUGAAACUGUGAGACUUGAGGACGAGAGAGGUGAGUGGAAUUCCCAGUGUAGAGGUGAAAUUCGUAGAUAUUGGGAAGAACACCGGUGGCGAAGGCGGCUCACUGGCUCGUUUCUGACGCUCAGGCGCGACAGCGUGGGGAUCAAACAGG